rnacentral:tRNA from 1 species
GGGCCAUUAGCUCACCUGGUAGAGCGCACCCAUGGCAUGGGUGAGGUAGCCGGUUCGAGUCCGGCAUGGUCCACAA